rnacentral:tRNA from 1 species
GUCCCUGUAGUGCAAUGGAUAGCACGUUGGAAUUCUAAUCCAAAGGUCGUCGGGUCGAAUCCCACCUGGGAUG